GACAACUUGGCCGAGUGGUUAAGGCGACAGACUUGAAAUCUGUUGGGUUCGCCCUCACAGGUUCGAAUCCUGUAGUUGUCG
rnacentral:tRNA from 2 species